GUCGACAUGUGGUUAGCUUUCCAUGCUUCAAUUCAGUUCGCUAUGUAUAGGAUUUCAGAAAAACAAUUCUGUGUCCGUUAAAUCGACAUUUUACCACCGCGUUAUCCGUUCGUCAUCUAUGAACACGACAUCGCGGGGUGUAAGCGCUCCCGGUUAGGAAUGCACGGUUCUAUCUCAGCACCAUUUUCCCGGUUGCUAACUGCUCUCAGUGAAACUGAUAUGAUGGUGAAAUGGCUCCCUCCGGUUCAAAUAUUGAGCAGCAAGCCUUUGACGGUAUUAAUACAUCGGCUGCGAUUGAUCCAGACAGCGCAGCCGAUGGUAAAACAAGAUCCAUCUCCAAC
ensembl:lncRNA